rnacentral:lncRNA from 1 species
AAAAGCAUCAGAUGGAUUAGGGCUGAUGCCACUAAACAUCAAGGUAGUUCAUGAGCUAAAUUAAAACUUGACUGAGUAGACACAAAUUUGCAAACAAGUAGCUAGGCAUUCUAAAUACAGCUCUUCAAACAAGGCUUCACGUCUACACACUAAUGCUCUGGGAAGAAAGAUGGGGCUGCACCUGAUUUCAGAAGUACCAAAGGGUAAACUCUCAGUUACUGAGUUAUGCCUGUUAAUUACUGGCAUAGCUAACAAAGCUAUGUCCCAAGGCCUCUGAUAUAAAAAUCUUGUCCUUAAAUUUAAUAUUUUUCUGAAAGGCUUUCAGAAAACAUACACAUAUAAAUGGAGUCUCGACUAGUUUUCAGUAUCAAUUUUUUUUUUUAUCUACAGAAGCUUCCUAUGUUUCACAAUGAUGAUUGAUUUUGCUAGUGGUUGACAGUACUGUUCAUGACAUUUCCUGUAUUAGUUCCCCUUUGGCACUUGUAUUAGUUCUAUAUUCAAUAAAUGCUACAAAACCAAA